GGAAUUGGUGGAUUGCCCCGUCUGUCUAGUGAUAAAUGUGCUAAGGUCGAACCGUGAUGGUGACUGCGGUCACGUGUUCGAAAGUACUAAUCUCAUACCUAGUGUCAGUGUUUAAACUCGGCAACCUACCAAGGGAGUACCUGAGGUAGAGUUUUGGUUGGUGGGUGUCGUCGAAAUUAGAAGCUCGAUGGUGUACGUAGGCACGCAAUUUCGACCGGUUUGGGCCGCUAGAUCGCGUAAUACCCUACGUCCUGUAUGUUGUUUGCUUGUAUUUGAUUGAACUUGUUUUGAGGGGGUCCCUACCCGCCCUUAUAUACC
rnacentral:lncRNA from 1 species